UACGGAGGGUGCAAGCGUUAUCCGGAUUCACUGGGUUUAAAGGGUGCGUAGGCGGGUUGGUAAGUCCGUGGUGAAAUCUCCGAGCUUAACUCGGAAACUGCCGUGGAUACUAUCAAUCUUGAAUAUCGUGGAGGUAAGCGGAAUAUGUCAUGUAGCGGUGAAAUGCUUAGAUAUGACAUAGAACACCUAUUGCGAAGGCAGCUUACUACGCAUAUAUUGACGCUGAGGCACGAAAGCGUGGGGAUCAAACAGG
rnacentral:rRNA from 1 species